GGAUCAUUACCGAGUUUACAACUCCCAAACCCCUGUGAACAUACCUUAAUGUUGCCUCGGCGGAUCAGCCCGCGCCCCGUAAAACGGGACGGCCCGCCAGAGGACCCAAACUCUAAUGUUUCUUAUUGUAACUUCUGAGUAAAACAAACAAAUAAAUCAAAACUUUCAACAACGGAUCUCUUGGUUCUGGCAUCGAUGAAGAACGCAGCAAAAUGCGAUAAGUAAUGUGAAUUGCAGAAUUCAGUGAAUCAUCGAAUCUUUGAACGCACAUUGCGCCCGCUGGUAUUCCGGCGGGCAUGCCUGUUCGAGCGUCAUUUCAACCCUCAAGCCCUCGGGUUUGGUGUUGGGGAUCGGCUCUGCCUUCUGGCGGUGCCGCCCCCGAAAUACAUUGGCGGUCUCGCUGCAGCCUCCAUUGCGUAGUAGCUAACACCUCGCAACUGGAACGCGGCGCGGCCAUGCCGUAAAACCCCAACUUCUGAAUGUUGACCUCGGAUCAGGUAGGAAUACCCGCUGAACUUAAGCAUAUCAAUAAGCGGAGGAAAAGAAACCAACAGGGAUUGCCCUAGUAACGGCGAGUGAAGCGGCAACAGCUCAAAUUUGAAAUCUGGCUUUCGGGCCCGAGUUGUAAUUUGUAGAGGAUACUUUUGAUGCGGUGCCUUCCGAGUUCCCUGGAACGGGACGCCAUAGAGGGUGAGAGCCCCGUCUGGUUGGAUGCCAAAUCUCUGUAAAGUUCCUUCGACGAGUCGAGUAGUUUGGGAAUGCUGCUCUAAAUGGGAGGUAUAUGUCUUCUAAAGCUAAAUAUUGGCCAGAGACCGAUAGCGCACAAGUAGAGUGAUCGAAAGAUGAAAAGCACUUUGAAAAGAGAGUUAAAAAGUACGUGAAAUUGUUGAAAGGGAAGCGUUUAUGACCAGACUUGGACUUGGUUAAUCAUCUGGGGUUCUCCCCAGUGCACUUUUCCAGUUCAGGCCAGCAUCAGUUUUCGCCGGGGGAUAAAGGCUUCGGGAAUGUAGCUCUCUUCGGGGAGUGUUAUAGCCCGUUGUGUAAUACCCUGGCGGAGACUGAGGU
rnacentral:rRNA from 1 species